rnacentral:rRNA from 1 species
UAGGGAAUCUUCCACAAUGGACGCAAGUCUGAUGGAGCAACGCCGCGUGAGUGAAGAAGGUUUUCGGAUCGUAAAGCUCUGUUGUUGGUGAAGAAGGAUAGAGGCAGUAACUGGUCUUUAUUUGACGGUAAUCAACCAGAAAGUCACGGCUAACUACGUGCCAGCAGCCGCGGUAAUACGUAGGUGGCAAGCGUUGUCCGGAUUUAUUGGGCGUAAAGCGAGCGCAGGCGGAAUGAUAAGUCUGAUGUGAGAGCCCACGGCUCAACCGUGGAACUGCAUCGGAAACUGUCAUUCUUGAGUGCAGAAGAGGAGAGUGGAAUUCCAUGUGUAGCGGUGGAAUGCGUAGAUAUAUGGAAGAACACCAGUGGAGAAGGCGGCUCUCUGGUCUGCAACUGACGCUGAGGCUCGAAAGCAUGGGUAGCGAACAGG